rnacentral:piRNA from 1 species
GAAACUCCGGUAAUUCGAUGUAAGGGA